rnacentral:tRNA from 1 species
GGGCGCAUAGCUCAGUUGGGAGAGCACCUGCCUUACAAGCAGGGGGUCAUAGGUUCGAGUCCUGUUGCGCCCACCA